UGCCCAGUUUGCACCAUUUUCUUGGUAAAGCAAGCCUCUUCAGAACAUGUCACAAUCACUGUGUCCUUCAUUUUUGUUGAAAAGGGGAAAUACCAUUGGACAUGAAGCUUACUGGAAGAAGGCUUAGACAGGGAAUAGAUAUGCAAAGCCAUUACCACGGAAACUCUCAAACAUAAAGGCCAAGCCAAUGUUUCGGCCAUUGCCUUUGCCCAUCACCAUCUUCCCCAUGACCUUCGCCAGAAUUGAGCGUGGUUAGGGAUGAUGUGAGUAGGAUGGAUGGAUGAUGCAGGAUGGAUGUUCAUGAGUCCAGCUUGGCAAGCACUGCAGCUUUCCUAUGUGAGCAAGACUCGAGCCGAUCAUGCUUCUGGUGUGCUCUAUGUUUCUAUGGGAAGACCAUGUGACUGUGUGACCAGUGACAUUUGCACGAACUGACCCAAAGUACCUCCUGCAGGAAGCGCUGCUCCCUGUGGCAACUUGCCUUUCUUCAUCCAAUGGCUCCAUGCAGAUAACCAUGGCAACCUGGACAGCUGAGCAUUGAAUAUGGCAGGGCCACGAAGUGGAAGAAUCUUGGAAUCUUGCAUGCAUACUUGGGGGAGAGCUGUCUCUGCUCAGAACCUCCUGGUUCCUAGUUGACAUGAGUGAGAAUUUUAAUGGCUGCCUGCUGUGCUUGAGUCAUUAUCUGUUACAUGUGUGCUAGCAACCACUAGAUGCCACCUAGAUUGUAAGCAGCAUAAUAUCAGAGAGACUGCUGUAUUGGUCUUUUCCUAGCUGUAUUUCCAGAACGCUAGCACAGGAGCAGACAUUCCAAUGGUCCUCAGUAAAUGCUUCUGGAAUGGCUGACUGACUGAAUGAAUAAAUGUCUCCAUAGAACUUUAGAGCUGGUAGGGACUGAGGCAUCAUACAUUCCUGAUGUCAUGUUAUAACAAAGAAAUGAAAGCUCACAGAGAGGAAGUGACUUGUCCAAGGUCCAAAAACUAGUUAAUUCCAGAAAAGGAAUCAGCAAGCACGGAGCCUCAGUCUGUGGCCUUUCACCCAUCCAUAUUUCCCUCCAUGGUAACCAUAUUUAUAUUAGCAACUGCUAAGGAAAGAAAAGGAUAAUUUCAUGCCUCAACUUCUAACCUAUUAUCACAACAAGAAUGAGUUGCAUAGUCACACAGUUCACAUGUGAAAUAUGUUGUGAGUGGGCCAUACUGCUUUGCCAGACCUUCAUGGGAAACCACUUUGUAAAUCCCAUAGGAGGAAACACAUGUAACUGUUAUUAAUCUGUACCUUAUAAAGUUAGGGAAGUGAUCCUGCCACAAUUCGACUUGAACAGGGUUUUGCAGAAAGGAUUAGAUCUGGUAUGAGGGAUAAAGUCUUGGAGCAGGAUGCUGUGUAUACCAAAGCUAAGAGUCAGCAAAGGCUGCUAUGCAUAGCUAUAGUAGUCUCAGCAUGACUGAGGCCCAGUUUGACUAAAGGGCUGUUGGCAAGUUGGCCCAAAAGAAGGUCAGAUAGAUAAUAAGACUCAAAGAUUAUAUUUGAUAAUUGGUACUUAUAUCUCUUUUAUUUGAAUGAAAAUAAUAGGUACACAUAAAUAUCAACUCCAUUUCAUCUAAGCAGCAUCCAUUUCAUUAAACAUUCAUGUAGAACACCUUUCCCCACACAUACACAGACUUAUCCCAAUCCAACCACUGAAAGAUUGUAAGUUUCCCACAAAGACCUUUGAAAACUCAGCUCUUUGAUGGAAUGACUGAAAAAUAAAGACUUUUCUGGGGCCAUUACUCUUUGGUUCUGGUUUAAUA